rnacentral:rRNA from 1 species
AUUGAACGCUGGCGGCAGGCUUAACGCAUGCAAGUCGAGCGGAGAUGAGGUGCUUGCACCUUAUCUUAGCGGCGGACGGGUGAGUAAUGCUUAGGAAUCUGCCUAUUAGUGGGGGACAACAUUCCGGAAGGAAUGCUAAUACCGCAUACGCCCUACGGGGGAAAGCAGGGGAUCUUCGGACCUUGCGCUAAUAGAUGCGCCUAAGUCGGAUUAGCUAGUUGGUGGGGUAAAGGCCUACCAAGGCGACGAUCUGUAGCGGGUCUGAGAGGAUGAGCCGCCACACUGGGACUGAGACACGGCCCAGACUCAUACGGGAGGCAGCAGUGGGGAAUAUUGGACAAUGGGGGCAACCCUGAUCCAGCGACGCCGCGUGUGUGAAGAAGGCCUGCGGGUUGUAAAGCACUUUUAGUGGGGACAAAAAGCCGAGGGCUAAUACCUUUCGGUCUUGAUUUAACCCAAAGAAAAAGCACCGGCUAACUCUGUGCCAGCCGCCGCCGUAAGAC